rnacentral:rRNA from 1 species
UACAGAGGGGGCAAGCGUUGUUCGGAAUUACUGGGCGUAAAGGGCGCGUAGGCGGCCUUCUAAGUCGAACGUGAAAUCCCCGGGCUCAACCCGGGAACUGCGUCCGAGACUGGAAGGCUUGAAUCCGGGAGAGGGAUGUGGAAUUCCAGGUGUAGCGGUGAAAUGCGUAGAUAUCUGGAGGAACACCGGUGGCGAAGGCGGCGUUCUGGACUGCAACUGACACUGAGAAACGAAAGCCAGGGUAGCAAACGGG